CCUCAGGUCCUCGCGCUGUUGGGUCGCUCGCUCACUCUUGUCGAUCCUUCUCCCGUCACGCCGCUGCCGCCACUACCAACAGGUGUUUCAGGAGAACUUUCAGGUUAAACAAAGAUGUGAGAAAAUAUCAAUAUUACUAGACAUGAUAAAUCGUCCUUGAGGUGAGUUGUAGUGACAAGAUGACAGUGUGUAAAAAGUGACUUAGAGGAAAUAAAUGGAAAUUGCAUUGUGACCACGAGAAAUAGUUGUGGAUUUUGACUCAAUAAACGAGAAGAAUAGAAAUUAAUAAAUAAAUGAAAUAAAAUAAAUUAUUCACGGAAACUUGACUGAAAAAAAAUGAAAAAUUGACUUUGAGAAAUUAUAAGGAAUUAGAGGGUACAUAUAAUCCCCGAAUUAAAAAGAUACACGAAUGAAAAGUAACCCCCCAAAAAAUAUUGAAAAAAGUUGUGUAAUUUCACUGAUAAAACAGAAGAAAUCGCGUGAACUAACAUAAACAGAGAAACAAAUAGUGGAGAGAGAGAGAGACAAAAUACCAGUGAGGUGAGGAAGAAGUGGCGGAAGCAACAAAACAAAUCAACUUUCAACUUCCUCAAUCAAUCAACUCUUCAACCCCAGCAACACCCAGAUCAUGGGAGAGGAAGGUUGCUGAGGGUCCAGUAGCCAGCCAUGAGAAGCAGUUUAUCUCCUGCCUUGGUGUAACUCAGUGAGGCGCUGGCACUUAUCACUCGCCCCCAACAGCUACGCCUACAGGAGCAAGUGUGAGGCAAGGGGAGAGAGUGA